rnacentral:rRNA from 1 species
AUACGGAGGGUGCAAGCGUUGUUCGGAUUCACUGGGUAUAAAGGGUGCGCAGGCGGUCUGAUAAGUCAGAGGUGAAAUAUGUCGGCUCAACCGGCAAACGGCCCCUGAAACUGUCAGACUUGAGUCCGGGAGAGGUAGGUGGAAUUCCAGGUGUAGCGGUGAAAUGCGUAAAUAUCUGGAGGAACACCGGUGGCGAAGGCGGCCUACUGGCCCGGAACUGACGCUCAGGCACGAAAGCAUGGGGAGCGAACGGGAUUAGAAACCCGAGUAGUCC